GCACACAGCUCCUUCCAGAAGCUGCAUGGAUUCAUAGAGACAAGUUCAACAAGUGAUAUUCGAUCGUCAAGCUCAAGGCUGACUUGCAGUGAAAGCCGAAAGCUUUUCUAGCUUUUCAGCUUCACCGAACAGGACGAAAGAGAGGAGCCCGAUUGUUCUCAUGUUACACAAUGCCGUUCAUCGGAGCUCCAUCCGGGAUUGUUCCACCGGUCUCACGGCUGGCCGGCAACGUCCGACUAGAACACAAACAUAGAAAUCUCGUGAGAAAAUAAUUUGGCAAUUUAUCAAAAUAAUACGAGGAAAAAUAUGUAAACACAAAAAAUGAAAAAUUAGGUCGGCAAAACGCUACGUUCAUGGACAUUACAACCCGGAAGCCCUGAGACUGACAUCGCUCUUGCUAGCAUAGCAACGGAACAUUAGCAUAUUUACUCACAUCACGGCAAGGUUCAUCGGGGCGCCACACGUAGGUUUGUCCUGUGUAUUGCACCCUUUUCGUUCCGUCUGGCUGCAAGUAUUUACUAAUGCGACACAGUGUGGACUGAGGAUCUCUGCUCCAACAACUAAACAUGAGGAUUCCAACAUCCAGUGAACGCAGCACACGUCACCGGAAUAAGGCAUCCUCAUGGCCUCCAGCUGCUUUGUUCCAAGUUGUAUAUUAAAGGGAAAGUUGGCAUGUGUCACGUGAUGCUGAUGCUGAUGUUUUGUGUGAAGUCCAAGGAGUGGAGCGCCGUGGCCAGUGCUGCGUACAGGUGAGAGCUGCUGAACUGCAGGGAGUACACGGGACUACUCACUGACUCUGUGCCCAACUGGAAGAACUGCAACAAAUACAUCAAAUAUUUGACAUGAAAAAAUAAAUAUGUUUUCAAUUUACAGUGGAACCUUGGUUAGUGUCAUCAAUUCCUUCCAAAAAGGCCCGACUCUAACUAAAACGGACAUUAACCAAAUAGAGAGUUCCUGUGAGAAAUAAUGGAAAGCCAAAAAUGUUAACACAAGACAUAUUUGGAGAGUCCACCUUUUACACGUUAACCAAAAAACAUGCUAACUGGUGCGGUUGCUAACCAAGGUUCCACUGGAUCUAUUCAGGCUGGAAGAUGUUAUAGUCCAUACUGAGGAAGACUUUUCAUACGAUGUACCGUUCAUGGCCAGAGAAUAUGAAUUUGCCACAGGAUGACGCUGUUUGAUGUAAAUAUUUAGGGGGAAUGGUUAAACGGCAGUUUGGGAACGGGAAUGGGAACGGGCCUUCACAGCACAUACAGGCCAGAAAGGCAUUUCAUAAUUAAGUAUACAAAAUGUGCACACACCUGUAAGCAUUCAGUCCUUCUUUUGUCCCAGAGUCGAACGACACCAUAGUAGGAGGAGCCACUGGCUAUCAUGUGAUUUCCGUCUGUCUGGAUGCAGUACAAGGCGCUGUCGUGAGGUUCCUCCCACUCCAUGACAUACUUCCUGUUGGGGAGAAACUCACAUCUUACUGUGAUACUGUGACCCAAGGAAAAUAAUCGAGUAUAAACGAAUGCAAUUUCAUGGAAGAAAUACUAGAAU